CAUGUAUGUGGGAUAUUGUACUAAGCUUGGGUACAUGUAUGUGGGAUAUUGUACUAAGCUUGGUACAUGUAUGUGGGAUAUUGUACUAGGCUGGGUACACGUCUGUGGGAUUUUGUACUAGGCUGGGUACACGUAUGUGGGAUAUUGUACUAGGCUGGGUACACGUAUGUGGGAUAUUGUACUAGGCUGGGUACACGUAUGUGGGAUAUUGUACUAGGCUGGGUACAUGUAUGUGGGAUAUUGUACUAGGCUGGGUACAUGUAUGUGGGAUAUUGUACUAAGCUUGGUACAUGUAUGUUUGGAUAUUGUACUAGGCUGGGUACACGUCUGUGGGAUUUUGUACUAGGCUGGGUACACGUAUGUGGGAUAUUGUACUAGGCUGGGUACACGUAUGUGGGAUAUUGUACUAGGCUGGGUACACGUAUGUGGGAUAUUGUACUAGGCUGGGUACACGUAUGUGGGAUAUUGUACUAGGCUGGGUACAUGUAUGUGGGAUAUUGUACAAGGCUGGGUACAUGUAUGUGGGAUAUUGUACAAGGCUGGGUACAUGUAUGUGGGAUAUUGUACUACGCCGGGUACACGUCUGUGGGAUUUUGUACUAGGCUGGGUACACGGCUGUGGGAUUUUGUACUACGCUGGGGACAUGCAUGUGGGAUAUUGUACUAGGCUGGGUAUAUGUAUGUGUGAUUUUGUGCUAUGCUGGGUACAUGUCUGUGUGAUGGCCCUCUUUUUAUAUGAAUUUUACGUUUGAAUGGCAUGCACAUUACUUACAUCUCACCCUCUGUAGUCUCUGGUGUCUGGCAUUUUGCUUUCUGAUGGCUGAUGCUCUUUGACUUUAAAUGUAAUGCCAUGUAUAUGAAGAUUUUUCCUAUAUGAUGUAUUAAGCAUCUGUAGUGGUUGUCUUGACCCUAGUGGAGUCAGGUUUUAAUUUCGGUGCGAUAUCGCAGCUGGUGGAAUCUAGCGCCUGGCCUCGAAAUGAGUCACAAGUAGCAGUUUUUUCUAAUUUCCGUAGCGCUGUACAUUGGGAUCACCUCCUAUUAUUCUCUACGGUAAUUACAAGUCACAACUGGUAAGUCUUUGUAUUAUUGAAAGAGCCGCUAUUUACCAACGUUACAGACAGCCUAUUUAUUAACGGCUUGUCGCUAAAAACUGACAACGCUGGAAAUGAGCCCUACAUUGGGAAUAGUGGAGACAUGAUAUGCAGAUUGUAUAUUUUAGGUAAAACUAGGAAAACUUGCAGGAAUUGGAGAAAUUCUACAACUCCGCUAUUCUGGUCUAAAUCUGUAAAUGCCUUGCCAAUUCCCCACGAGUCUCAGGUUAGCUGUUAAAGCCUGAUGGUAUUAGCAAGACAUAUUGAUGAAAUGAUGGUUUAUAAACUAAAAGGUGAAUUGUAAGAAACUGGAAACAAAUCGCAAAAUGUAGGUAAAAAUAAAAAUAACCAAUUUGGUUAUUCACCAGAAACACCAGUCCACCCACCAGCUCGGAUAUAGUGAAACAUACAUUAAACCAGAACCUGGAUGGGAGAAUCGAGCACAAUAAGACUAGCAGACAAAUCCAGUAAAUAAAAAGCAGUGCUAAAAAGAAGCAGAGGCUCAACAGCUUUUCUUAAACUACAAAUCUCAUGCCAUUGUUUAAAGGGACAUUACAGUUUAUUGAAUUUGUUCUGGUGAGUAGAAUCAUUCCCUUCAGGCUUUUUGCUGUAAACACUGUCUUUUCAGAGAAAAUGCAGUGUUUACAUUGCAGCCUAGUGAUAACUUCACUGGCCACUCCUCAGAUGGCUGUUAGAGGUGCUUCCUGGGGCAGUGCUGCAAAGAGUGACUGACAUUCAGUGUCUCCACCCUCUGCAUGGAGACACUGAACUUUCCUCAUAGAGAUGCAUUAAUUCAAUGUAUCGCUAUGAGAAAAUGCUGAUUGGCCAGGGCUGUGUUUGGCUUGUGUUGGCUCUGCCCCUGAUCUGCCUUCUUGACAUUCUCAGCCAAUCCAAUGCUUUCCUAUGGAAAAGCAUUGUGAUUGGCUGAGAUCAAAACUUCUAGUAAUGUAAGCCAAGGACGCAGAUUAGGGGCAGAGCCAGCAGCAGCAGACUUAAAUAAAAGUAAGAUUUUACUAUAUUUGGGGGAGAAAUUAAUGCAUGUUUGUGUUCCUUUAAAUGUUGUAACCGACUAAUACCUGUAAUACCAGGUACCCGUAAACACCCAAUCUUCAUUGGCAUACUGCACCCCACUCAAAGUUACUCACUCUUCAUUACGACAUUUGUGAUCAUAAAUUCUACCACAUUUUCCUUAACACACAUCAAAUGGCAAACGGAACUGGAAUUCAGAGAUUAAGCAGCUCCUACAUUUCAUAAACAGCGAAUGAAGUUAUAUAUGAUUAUAGAUAUUAAAGGAUCACUAUAGGGUCAGGAACACAAACAUGUAUUCCUG
rnacentral:lncRNA from 1 species